GGAGGAAAGCAGGGGAUCGCAAGACCUUGCGCUCUUGGAGCGGCCGAUGUCUGAUAGCUAGUUGGUGAGGUAAAGGCUUACCAAGGCGACGAUCAGUAGCUGGUCUGAGAGGACGACCAGCCACACUGGGACUGAGACACGGCCCAGACUCCUACGGGAGGCAGCAGUGGGGAAUUUUGGACAAUGGGGGAAACCCUGAUCCAGCCAUGCCGCGUGAGUGAAGAAGGCCUUCGGGUUGUAAAGCUCUUUCAGCCGGAACGAAACGGUCACGGCUAAUACCUGUGACUACUGACGGUAGCGGAAGAAGAAGCACCGGCUAACUACGUGCCAGCAGCCGCGGUAAUACGUAGGGUGCGAGCGUUAAUCGGAAUUACUGGGCGUAAAGCGUGCGCAGGCGGUUUUGUAAGUCAGAUGUGAAAUCCCCGGGCUUAACCUGGGAACUGCGUUUGAAACUACAAAGCUAG
rnacentral:rRNA from 1 species